UUUCUCACUUUGACAGCAGAUAUACUAAAAAUUAGAAUGACAAAGAAGAUUUGCAUGUCUCAUGUGCAGAGCUGACAUGGAAAGCUUUCAAGUAUUCCAUAUAUUU
rnacentral:snRNA from 1 species